rnacentral:miRNA from 1 species
GGAGCGAACUAUGAACUGUCCAUUUUCAGCUAUCAUGGUACCGGUGCUGUGUUCCUCUCAAGUACAGUACUAUGAUAACUGAAGAUUGGCAGUGCCAUCAC